rnacentral:lncRNA from 1 species
GCAGGUGAUACGCAUUGUGAUUCCUACUUCCAGAUCGGUGCAUUUUAAGUCAAGCAGUGCUGAAGAGUGAUGAGCUAUAUUCAAGGUUACUCGUUCAGUCCAAAAAAGUGCUAAACCUCCUGCCAAUCCAACUGGAUUUUCUAGAAAAACAUCUGAGAAUCUGAGUUUCCGUUGUAAGUUAAGUAGCAUUGUUUCCUGGUUCUUUGUUUCCAUUAAAAACAAAAUGUCGGGCUUUUCCUGGGUCACUAAGACCUUUAGUGCUUGAACUGUCAGGGGAUUGCCCAAACCCUGACAGUUCCAACAUACUAACUUCAUUGUUCACCUGGUGGCUUUUUAGGGCCAGCCACCAGGGCCCAACAUGCAGAAGCAUCAACUUCAUGGACUGGGGUCUCUUGUAACAGUGAUUCAUCAAGUCCCUGUUGAAACUGAGAGCGAACAUCAGAGGUAAUAAGUCUUUUGGCUUUCUUAUUGGGCCUGAUCUCGUAUUCAGGCGUGGGCUUUUAACUUUCUUGGACUGAAUUGUAGCAACUACACUUUCAGGAGAUGUGAUGUGCUUUUGAUAGGAAGGAAGCCUGUGCUGUGGGAA